rnacentral:rRNA from 1 species
UGGGGAAUUUUGGACAAUGGGGGAAACCCUGAUCCAGCCAUCCCGCGUGUGCGAUGAAGGCCUUCGGGUUGUAAAGCACUUUUGGCAGGAAAGAAACGUCAUGGGUUAAUACCCCGUGAAACUGACGGUACCUGCAGAAUAAGCACCGGCUAACUACUUGCCAGCAGCCGCGGUAAUACGUAGGGUGCAAGCGUUAAUCGGAAUUACUGGGCGUAAAGCGUGCGCAGGCGGUUCGGAAAGAAAGAUGUGAAAUCCCAGAGCUCAACUUUGGAACUGCAUUUUUAACUACCGGGCUAGAGUGUGUCAGAGGGAGGUGGAAUUCCGCGUGUAGCAGUGAAAUGCGUAGAUAUGCGGAGGAACACCGAUGGCGAAGGCAGCCUCCUGGGAUAACACUGACGCUCAUGCACGAAAGCGUGGGGAGCAAACAGG